rnacentral:lncRNA from 1 species
GCCACAUUUUGACUCGAAGUUCAGAAGAGUACACAAUUAGUUAAUGCAAGAAAACUUCGCUUUCAUAAAACUUUUUCGAAAUAAAAUCGGUAUGCCUUGUAGAGAAAAAGGUCAGUAUUAAAUUUAGCUAUUCUUUUAACGUUUUUGAGUUGUUUUUGUUAAGAUAUUGCUGUUUUUGAAACACGUGUGUAUAUAUAUUCAUUGUAUUAAUUUGAAUUGAAUUCGAUUCCCAUUCAAGCGCUUCGUUACGGCGCUUAGUCGCUUUAUUUCCUUCGUGUUUUUCCCUCAUUUUCUAGCAGUAAUGUUCAGAAAUACCCCAGUUUUGAUUUAUGUAACUCAUAUUUAGUUUAUCUGCGAUUUCAGGGCGAAAAUUUGAAGAGAAAAGUGAACCAAUUUAAGUCGCCAACAUGGUCGAAAGGCGAAGUACUUGGUAAGCAUAAUUGCCACUAUUAAAAGGCGUUUCCUUCUUGUUUUCCUUUCGUUUUUAAGCCUCCCUUAUACACCUAGAACGUCUUCUAGUAAAGCCUUGUAGCUUUAUGAGCACUCUGUCAAAUUUAGCUAAAUUUUUGUUGAAAAUUUUGUCCGUAUCCAGAGCGAAAUGCCGACACAUUUUAGGCAUGUUCAAUUCGACAUGCAUUUCAAACAUUCCAGCUUCUACAAAUUACUUAGCUUGUCGUUUAUGACUAUGUACAAAUUGUACUCUGAGAGGGAAGGCUAAGCUUUUAGAGUUUUUUGAGCUUGUCUAUAAGUUGAAUUUUAAUCCAAAUCUUUUGAAGCAGUUCAGAGAUGAAAUGUCUUCGUGGUUCAUGCCCUAAUUUUAUGCAUACAUGCUCGCAUUCUUUAAAAUUAAAAUAAAUUGAAUUCGACAACCACACCCUGUGUAAAAGACAUUAAAUAAUAACUCUUCGCUGUUUUAUCCAAUUUUUUUAGAUUGCCUGAAGUUCGAUCAUUCUGACGGCAAACAGUACAGAAAGACCUCUGCACAGAUUUGAAGAGACGAGCGCUCGCCUAGCUAGAAGUUGAAGCAAAACGAGAAGGCAAAGGCCAAAUGAAAUGCCUGAAAAAUACAACUUAAUACCAUAGUCUGACAGUGAGUGAACGCUCGAAAGCAGAUACACCCAUCAUCAGAUUUUGCUCAGCCAGCCAAUUGUGAAUGGAUAUGUCAAGUCUCAAGACCUGUCAAGCCACGACGAAGUACCAUCCAGAAAUCAAAACCAACGCGCCACACCAACCAGCCAAUGAAAUAGCCGUGAAAGAUGCUGUACAUUACAGAAGGUAUAUUUUCCUCGUUGGUCGUGUUCGAAAGUACGUGGGGACCACCCUGAGGACGCCCAAAUGCACAAAACAAAUUUAUUUAAAUGUGGCACUUUUUACUUUAUUUUCGCAAUUUAUUCAAAUUUUUCACAUUUUUUGGUGUUUGUGAAAAGCUCUUAACGAAAUCGAAAUAUUUGAAAUUCGGAAGGUUCUAUCUGGGAGUUUGUUUAUUUGAAAGAUAUUUGAAAUGAAAUUUUGAAAUUUACAUCACUUUGGUAUAUGGUUUAAACGCUAGGUAAAAUCAUGCCAGAUGAGUGGCCGACCAUUCGUCGGCGUUCGGUGAUACUUUGGCUCGGACUUUCCCGACCUACAGUCGAGUUGCCCUGAUCGAUUGUCGUGAUCAACUAGCACAGGUGCAAGGUCUGGCCAACCUUACAUCAGUGCUUUUUGUUCGUGGCAUGAGAUUGGGACAGCUCGCCUGUAGGCCUGGAAAGAUCAAGCCGAAGUACGACCAAACUUUGAUUUGUGGCCGGCUUUUUGUCUGUAUGGCUUUAUCCAGCGUUUUCCCCGUUACCAUCUUGAUGUAGACUUUGGGAUUUUGGCUUGAAUAUCUUUAAUAUAAACAUUCUUUGAGCUUUAAUCUCUCAAGAAUUUCAUGGUUUUGACUAGUUAAUGUGUUACUCGCAGAUACUAUAAUUGUAUUAAAAAUAUUGACCAAAAAAUUUAAAACUGACCAAAACAUCAUUUGAGGUGUCGGAUGGGAGGUCCAGUGGGAGUCCUAGCGGAUACCAAUGGAUAAAUACGGAUACUGUGACACUGUGUACUAUUGGACAUAUUGUGAACAUUUAUGGAUAAUUGGGAACAUUAAUGAUUACAACAAACACUUAUGGAUUAUUAUGAACAUUUGUGGAUAAAAUGUACCUCGCAAUCGACGGUUACCUACCAAUGUACCUUGACAACGAAAGCUGCACGACGGCAACGAGAUGACUGCCUCAAGGUUAGAGGGUUUAGUCUGGUAACAAGCAGUUGUUAGCUUGUUAUCAGGCAGUAGUUAGCCUGCUAUCAGGCAGUAUAUCUGUACGAUUCAUACCCGGGACUCUAAUUUGCAUGUGGUCGAUGAAGUCUCUGGGUUAACCGGUUUAAAAUUCCUGGCGGUCUGUCUUUAGAAGUACAUUUGCACGCAAGAUUGAUUUUUAUUCGGAUACUUGCAUGCUAAUAAAAAUUGAGGCAGAAUAUUUGACCUCAGUUAAUAAGAAUUUCGACAUCCUCUGAAUUGAAAGUCAAUCUUAAAGAGGUUGACAUUUGAGCUUUCGGUCACGUGGUUCGUUGCAUGCACUCGGUUCUGUCAUUGGUGGGUUUCAGUAAGUGUUACAAUCCAAACGGUGGUCAACAUCGGAAAUGUUAGAACUUCCUGGAGCAAUUUAUUUUGCUUCAAAUACCAGACUACUACAUAAAGUGAAAAGGAGUGAACAUUAUUUUUUCGCUCUAGUAACUCGUAGUGAGACCCACUAACUAUUUGCGGUCUGUUCGUGCCAAUGUUGUUCUCUUUGUGUAAAUGUACUGCUUAGGUGUCUGUGCAUGGAUGAACGCAGCGCGCAGCUAGUAUCCAGAAUAUAGGCAGAUAAGUAAAACCUUGCCAGACUUUAAAAUUUUGUUUAUAUCUAUAUGUUAUGUUCACAA